rnacentral:rRNA from 1 species
UACGUAGGGUGCGAGCGUUAAUCGGAAUUACUGGGCGUAAAGCGUGCGCAGGCGGUUUUUUAAGCCAGAUGUGAAAGCCCCGGGCUUAACCUGGGAAUGGCAUUUGGGACUGCAAGGCUUGAGUGCGGCAGAGGAGACUGGAAUUCCUGGUGUAGCAGUGAAAUGCGUAGAUAUCAGGAGGAACACCGGUGGCGAAGGCGGGUCUCUGGGCCGAUACUGACGCUGAGGAGCGAAAGCGUGGGGAGCAAACAGG